rnacentral:lncRNA from 1 species
GAACGUGUGUGAAGGGCUGGGCGGAACAUUCAAUUUGCCACCCGAUUAUUCAAUUUGCACGCGACAGGCGGAACAUUUGCAUAUGAUAAUAAAAGUAAGGCGGGCCCCAAACAAAAAAUCGAUGGCCAUUCAGGAUUUACCAACCAAAUGGUGUGUAUCUUGUUUAUAUUUUGCUGCAGCUUCCGAUAUAUGGGUAUUUAUGUGUGUUUUUCGUGCUGCAUGAAUGCAUAAAUGCAACAAAAUGUGGCAGUAUUUCAAUGGAAUCCCCUGGCAACGAUAUACUUCAUUUGAUUUAUGUUCCAGUCACACUGCUAACUGGCAAUAGUAAGCAAUCAGAAAUCAACAUUCCGAUGGGAAAAGCAACUGUCGUUGAUAAUAAUAAUCGAGAGAGGCGAAGCCGUAGCGUAACCCUUUUCCCACUUCAUUUGCGUUGGUGUCUGGAACUUAAUAAAAGUUUUUGAUUGAGGUGCAAAUGGAGAGCAAUGUCGGGAUAAAUUCAGCAAUACUUUCCGCAAAUUGGCAAUGGAUUGAGGCAGGGACUAGCCCAAAUGGAGUGCUGACAGAAUUCUGAAGACCUUUGUUUGGCCCCCCCUAAGCACACACAAAAAUAAAGGAUAAAGGAAAAACCAACCAAAUGGCAUUUCAUUUUUCACG